ACAACAUUCGGACCGUCGGUCUACCGAGCAAUAUCACCCGGUAGAAGAUCUUCUCUUUGUCGU
rnacentral:pre_miRNA from 1 species